CAGUGAAAGAAACCAACGCUACACAGGAGCGAUUCCCCAGCUGAACCGUCUCUGUCUGACAGGCGUGCGUUAGCUGCCCGAACGUGACCGUCAAUCACAAGUUCGUCUGUCAGUUGGAUUGAAUGACGACCUUCGAGUUUUGUGGAAAAACGUGGCCGGAAAUGUCGAUAUAUCCACCACUGUAGGACUUGAAGACGGACUAGAGGAAAAAGCCAAAAGUCAGGUUUAAAGAGGCAGUGAGGCGGUGGAGGAGACGAUGACUGAGGUUCAACGCCAGACGAGUGUAUGUGUGGAGGGGCCAGACCUUACUCCACAGCGCUGUGGAGUAAGGUCUGGCAAUGCAAGAAUACACUUGGAUUUGGAAGGACUGCAACUUCUGAAGGUAGCCGACCAU